AUUGAACGCUGGCGGCAGGCCUAACACAUGCAAGUCGAACGAGUGGCGGACGGGUGAGUAUUGUCUGGGAAACUGCCUGAGGGAGGGGGAUCACUUCUGGAAACGGUAUCUAAUACCGCAUACCAUCGGAUGUGCCCAGAUGGGUUUAGCUUGUAGGUGGGGUAAAGGCUCACCUACGCGACGCUCCCUAGCUGGUCUGAGAGGAUGACCAACCACACAGAAACUGAGACACGGUCCGGACUCCUACGGGAGGCAGCAGUGGGGAAUAUUGCACAAUGGGCGCAAGCCUGAUGCAGCCAUGCCGCGUGUGUGAAGAAGGCCUUCGGGUUGUAAAGUACUUUAAGCGGGGAGGCGUUACCCGCAGAAGAAGCACCGGCUAACUCCGUGCCAGCAGCCGCGGUAAUAC
rnacentral:rRNA from 1 species